rnacentral:lncRNA from 1 species
AGAUCACUAAGAUGACUUGCAAGCAACUCACUAUACUUUGAUGCUAGACUAUCUGAAUUUCUAAUUCAAUGAUGAAAGAUUUCUAGAUAUAGUCAAGUACUUAUAGUAGUCGGUGUGUAAGUCAAGAUGAGAUUGACAUCUUCAGAUUGAUGGAAUUAAUGCAUCACUAUAUUUCAAUUUAGUAAAAUCUUGGCUAGGAUAAUCUAUGUGAUGGAUUUG